AAAACAUCCAUAUUAGAUUACCUUAAUAACGCAAGGCAAAACACAACAGACUAGUCAAAACAUCCAUAUUAGAUUACCUUAAUAACGCAAGGCAAAACAUAACUAUAUACUACUGCAUCAACAUUCCUUUCUGACUAUUCAUUUCAACUUCCAAAACAACUUCGCCAUAGAUCAUCGUUUGAUUAAGGACUCGGGAAGAUUAAACAUGACUGUAAUCUUAUACUACUAGUUAACUUUUGAAGACAACUUUUGCUUUAGAGGAUGCCCGCUGAAAUUUUGAC
rnacentral:lncRNA from 1 species